AGAGUUUGAUCCUGGCUCAGGAUGAACGCUAGCUACAGGCUUAACACAUGCAAGUCGAGGGGCAGCAUGGUCUUAGCUUGCUAAGGCCGAUGGCGACCGGCGCACGGGUGAGUAACACGUAUCCAACCUGCCGUCUACUCUUGGACAGCCUUCUGAAAGGAAGAUUAAUACAAGAUGGCAUCAUGAGUCCGCAUGUUCACAUGAUUAAAGGUAUUCCGGUAGACGAUGGGGAUGCGUUCCAUUAGAUAGUAGGCGGGGUAACGGCCCACCUAGUCUUCGAUGGAUAGGGGUUCUGAGAGGAAGGUCCCCCACAUUGGAACUGAGACACGGUCCAAACUCCUACGGGAGGCAGCAGUGAGGAAUAUUGGUCAAUGGGCGAGAGCCUGAACCAGCCAAGUAGCGUGAAGGAUGACUGCCCUAUGGGUUGUAAACUUCUUUUAUAAAGGAAUAAAGUCGGGUAUGCAUACCCGUUUGCAUGUACUUUAUGAAUAAGGAUCGGCUAACUCCGUGCCAGCAGCCGCGGUAAUACGGAGGAUCCGAGCGUUAUCCGGAUUUAUUGGGUUUAAAGGGAGCGUAGAUGGAUGUUUAAGUCAGUUGUGAAAGUUUGCGGCUCAACCGUAAAAUUGCAGUUGAUACUGGAUAUCUUGAGUGCAGUUGAGGCAGGCGGAAUUCGUGGUGUAGCGGUGAAAUGCUUAGAUAUCACGAAGAACUCCGAUUGCGAAGGCAGCCUGCUAAGCUGCAACUGACAUUGAGGCUCGAAAGUGUGGGUAUCAAACAGGAUUAGAUACCCUGGUAGUCCACACGGUAAACGAUGAAUACUCGCUGUUUGCGAUAUACAGCAAGCGGCCAAGCGAAAGCGUUAAGUAUUCCACCUGGGGAGUACGCCGGCAACGGUGAAACUCAAAGGAAUUGACGGGGGCCCGCACAAGCGGAGGAACAUGUGGUUUAAUUCGAUGAUACGCGAGGAACCUUACCCGGGCUUAAAUUGCAGAUGAAUUACGGUGAAAGCCGUAAGCCGCAAGGCAUCUGUGAAGGUGCUGCAUGGUUGUCGUCAGCUCGUGCCGUGAGGUGUCGGCUUAAGUGCCAUAACGAGCGCAACCCUUAUGGACAGUUACUAACGGGUGAAGCCGAGGACUCUGUCUAGACUGCCGGCGCAAGCCGCGAGGAAGGUGGGGAUGACGUCAAAUCAGCACGGCCCUUACGUCCGGGGCGACACACGUGUUACAAUGGCAGGUACAGAAGGCAGCCAGUCAGCAAUGACGCGCGAAUCCCGAAAACCUGUCUCAGUUCGGAUUGGAGUCUGCAACCCGACUCCAUGAAGCUGGAUUCGCUAGUAAUCGCAGAUCAGAAUGCUGCGGUGAAUGCGUUCCCGGGUCUUGCACACACCGCCCGUCA
rnacentral:rRNA from 1 species